rnacentral:ncRNA from 1 species
GGCCGGAUAAGGCGUUCACGCCGCAUCCGGCAGUUGUGCACCGGUGCCAGAUGCGCCGCUACGCGUCUUAUCAUGCC